AGAGCAGCCCGGCAGCUCUCGCGAGAGCGGCUGGCGUGAAGUGGGUGUUGCCGGGGCAACGGCUCUGCAUCCACGCCCCCCUGCCUAGAAAAAGCCUCAGGGACGGAGAGGAGCCGUCAGGCUGCGUGAGUCAGUGAGCCGUUGAGAGGAGGUGAAACGGCAGUGAUGGACCUGCUAUUGCAAAGCAAAACAAUUUGAGAGAGGAGGAGGAGUGGAAACGGAUACCGGCUUGGUGAAGUGGGCAUCCCCCAUCCCGAUCAUCCUUGCUUCCCCAGCUGCCUCUGUGUAAGAGGUUUGAGGCCCUGGAACUUGAGGGAGAGGAGACCUCACCUAUGAGUGAAUGCACUGCCUGGGACCUCCAGUUUUCCAGGAAAGGCUCUCCAUAUCCUUGAUAGAGCUCCCCACCAACUGUGGAAUGGAUGAUGGUGAAGUAUUUCAGCAGCUGGUGAUGUAUCUUUCUUAGUCACUAUUGCUAUCCUCAUGUAUUAAUAGGUGCAUCGCUUUAUUCUGUUUUUUUCUUGUAUAUCAUUUCACUUAUUUUCUCAUUGCUUUAAGAUUAAGUAAAGAUAAAAGCACUUCUUAGCUUGGUGUCUGUGACCUUUGUGGUGAACUUGUCCACUGGCAAAACAAACACCUUGGUGAAAUGUGGCCCAGAUUCAUUUAACCAAAAAUAAAAUUUAAGGUAAUAUACUAAAAGAUUAAUUCAGUGGCUCUUGCUCAAUUUAUUUUGUAUGAC